ensembl:lncRNA SNHG14 small nucleolar RNA host gene 14
AGAUCGGCAUGAACCAAGAACUGGGUUUCAUAUAAAAUAUUUUAUUCUGUCCUCUUGAGAUGUGACAUGAGAAAAGUAUUGAGAAUACUUCUAUCACCUCAUCUUCAAGAAUCCGUAGGAAUUCUCCCAUGGUGGACUUUACGGUUAACCUGAACAGGUCUUGGAAAAAGGACUUUAAACAUUCUCCUGUUCUGUGGAAUAAGUAUACUUUUUUCUGGACAUACACCUUGUCAGUGAGUUCCAUGUGAUACUAGAGUUGCAUAGAUUUUUAACCUUUACGCCAAUGAAGAUCUGAGGCAAACAUUGCCCCUUUUUUAGAAGUUUGCAUUUGUCACUGAUAACUGUAAUAAUUGAUCUUGUUGAAAAGCCUGGGAAAUGAAGAUCUGAUAUGUCACUUUUACCGGCUUCCUCAACUGAAAAAGAAUACAAUGAAACACGCUGAGAAUUUUUGUGCUUUCUCAGUCUUGCUGAUGAUCUUUCUAUGGGCCUGAAGCGUGGAGAGUGCCAGAGAGGCUGAUCCUCAGCAGUGUGGCAGAGGAAAGUUGGGUGCGACUAAGGGGUAUGCGGUGCCCACAUGCCACUGGGUCCUCAGCAGUACCACCUGGUGAGCGUCACUCUUGAGAGCUGAGAGUAGGUGGGAAGCAGCUCAUGGUGAGAGGGUUCAGAGGCCGCCUUUCCCUCUCUGCGCACUGCCCAGUUCUUCUAGUCACAUGUCCCGGGACAGUACCAUACCUGUGUGUGUCCUGCCUGCAUUGCUGUGACCACUUUUAGUGGAAUCAGGUGCAGUGCAGCUCUGCAGCUUCUGCAAAUUGCCACGCUCCCACUCUCAAGCAGGUUGAGUGCUACGAGUGAUUUUUAGACCAUUUGUUUAUUCCCUUAUCAUGGCUUUUUGUGACUUCUUCCUCCCCAGUCCGUUGGGUCACCUUUAAAGGUAAAGUAAUCCUGAGGUGGUUGAAUUUACGGAAAUGCUAUGCAUUAUUGUGAAUGGGAUGUUCACCGGGCCAACAUCUUCUUGGAACUUUGAGCAAACUGAUAGUCUGGUUGCACAUUUGAUUUGUCUGGCAGUAAAUGUUGGACAGUAUUUGGACUGAUGGAAGCUAGAGACAAACACAUUGACUAUUGUUGAAUAACACUGGAAACAUCUUAGGAGAGCAGUACAUUAGCUAAUUUAAUAGGUACAUAAACUGAAUCCCACUGUCUUGUGCUUGACGGACCAGCAGACACAUAUGCUUGUAUCGUUCUCAUGUUUCUACAUGUUUACCCUAUUCCCACAGGUCAACAAAGACAAGGCACCUAGCCCCACAUGAAACUUUAUUCCUUUCCCUUUUGAGAUGUGACAUGAAAGAAAAUAACAGAAAUGAUUUUUCCAUCCCAUCCUCAGGGACCAGUGGGAAUGAAUUUUACCAUCCCACCCUCAAGGGCCAGGUCAGGUCGCUAAGCAUUUUGUCACUAAAAUAUUGCCCUUUUUUAGGGAUUAUGUAAUACUCUAUAAGGCACUGUCUGUGCUGGGCAGCAUGGAGCCUGGGUCAUUGCUGUGUUGGGGGCUUGGUCUCCAUGACUUAAUAGGGUGUAUCAGUGUGUCCCAGAGAAGUGUACUCCAGAGUGCUCAUUUUCUUUCAUGUUUCUGAAGCAAACAGUGCCCCCUUUUUUAGAAGUUUGCAUGUGUCACUGAUAACUUUAAUAAUUGAUCUUGUUGAAAAACCUGGGAAAACAGUGAGUUAAAUAAUAACUUCUCUGAACAUGAGGUCCAGCCCAAUUACCUGCCCUAAGCAAACUAUAUGGAAGGAGAGUUCAGUUUGUUCAGCUAUGUGGUCCCAGCAAGGACUGUGGUACUGGAAAACUAACCAGCUUACAUGCACUAGAGAAGUAGAAUUGGACAGUGAUCUGUAGGUACCCAGUUUGGAGAUGAAAUUGCAACUCUGAGUUCUUGAUUGGCAACAUAAAUACGUUGAUAGUAAACAGACCCUGGGGAAUCAGCACUUGAGUUGUGAAAAGCGGGAAAUAGCUAUGCCUACACUAGAGCCAUUCACACUUUUGCUGGAGCUGCAAUAAUCUUCUAAGUCAUGCUUGCUCUCGUGAGGGCAAUGAGAUGGUCACAAUCCAAGGAGAGUUGGGGUUUUCACUUUUCAUUUCUCUAUUAAGUGAAAAAA